GCUUUUGUGGUGUAAUUGGAAGCCCACUCGACUCGUAUUCGAGAGGUCCAGGUUCGAAUCCCGACGAAGGCA
rnacentral:tRNA from 1 species